UUCAGCAUACUUAAAUUAAAAAAAUUUUUUUUAAUUCAGAGAUUUUUAAGAUUCUCUGAUGGAUACCAGACAUGCAUUAUAAAAUGGAGGUUUUGCUUGAGCCAGUUACACACAGCCUCUGAAAAGCCACGCAGCUGGAGGGAAGUAGAAAUCUUGAACAUCCUACACAGCCUCCUUGUUUUCUGAACAAGAGAGUUCUUGGAGUAACCAAGCUCCUGGCACCUGCAAACGUAACCCCAUGGAGAGCCAGGUCAUCAGCCCAAGAGAGCUGUAACCAUACCCUGUAUUCCCAUUUAAAAAGCCCAUGAUCUUGGCACAAGACUGAUUUAUGUUUUAAAGUACAUUUGCAUAUUGAUAUUGAAAGGCCCACACACAGCUCAGUAAGUAAGUCAGAUACCUUCGAGCUGCUGACUCUGGCAGGGCCCCAGCCCAGCAGCACGGUCACUCUCGGAGUGCAGAGUUGAGCUUAUAAAUCCAUGAAGAUAACCGUGUCCUUGAUUGGGGAGAAAUGUGCUGUUGAAGGUAGUUGUCUGCCUCUUAGCUCGGACUGUAUGGAGAGGCCAGAAGCAGUUUCAGAAAGAAGGCCGAGGGGCAGUCCCUUGAGUAUUGGGGCAUUCACACUUUUUCUGCAGGAGUCAAGGAGAAAAGCAUGAAUCCUGAAGAGGCAGCUUUGCAUCAAAGAUUGGAAGGCUUGCAUUGUGAGAACUGGUAUGAUCUGCUUUGUAGUCUGUCCAGUAUUCGUUGGCUCUGCUCUUUCCUAAUAAUAGCAAUUACCAUAUGCAUUUUAUUGCUUGUAUUUUAAGUGUUUCUUCUGAAGGGACUUGUGGCUGCUUGUAUGUACAUUCAGUUCAGUAGGAUACAAUAAAUAGCUAAGAACAGUGGGUCAAAAGGGAAAUAAAUUUAGGGAGUAAGAUGAAGCCAGAAGUAAAGUUAGCACAUGAAGUGUACAUCAUACAGUCUUUGCAAUUACUCGAAGUGAGUCACCUGAGCUUCCUAGCAGCCAAUGUAAAAAGGGAACAGGAGUCGUCAUCAGAUUUACAGUAUCCAUAGAAUGAGAACAUUCAGUUAGACAACCAAUAGAUCCUUCUGGUCAUUGUCCAUAAAACCUGGAGUUCAGGGCUUUAGUCUUUAAGCAGCAAAUACCUCAUAGUAGAGGCAGUGCCAAAAGCUUUGACAAUCAGGAAAACAUAAUACAAGGUUAUGUUAUUUUUUAUUUGAAAGAAAUUGCUUAAGCCAAAACUUAUGCCAUGUGGAGACCCACUUUGGUAGAGCCCAGAUUUUCUUCAGGGAAUUCUUUUGGAUAAUCAAAUGGCCAGUGUUCUAGGUUCUAGGGCAGUGGGUCUUAACUCUGGUCAUGCAUCAGAAGGACCUGGGAGCUUUGGACAACAUUGAAACCCAGUUCCCAGGGCAUUAUAAUGUGUAGCCAGAGAUGAGGACCACCGCCAAGAGCAUGGGUGGAUUUUUUUCUGGCAAGAAAAACUCAGAGUAUCUGCUACCAAUUGCUGACCAUAGCCGUGGCUGGCAAGAGGUCUCCUUACUGUUACCUGAUUGUUUGUGAUGGAAUUCCUGCUGAGCACUGGGGAGACACGCACCUGGAGAGAGCCAGCAAGCUAGGCUGCAUCAGAUCAUUGGACUUAGCCAAAAGUCCGAGGACACCUGCCCACAGGUACCACUUCUGACAGCCCUGGGGGAGGCCCAAGGUGUCAUCAGUGCUUGAAGGAGAGGAAGAUGAAGAGGACUCAUGACUCAGACCAGCUUUUUGUGGGUCCAGAGGGAACCGGAAGUGAAGGUGCAGCAGGGCAAACUGCCCAAAAGAGAAGCACCCAGGAGAGAACCUGCCGUGGGUACUUAAGCCCAGGAGGCGCAGCCAGACUUCUGUCAGUUUGAAGCAGCACAGGCAAGGAGAUAUUUGUGGAAACUUCCAAGAAGACAAGUGGAAUGGAAUGAGAUGUUUUCUCUCAUGGAUGGGAGAUAAAUCAUAGUGCUUUCUUUCGGUGAUGAUGCAGAGUUUGUAGAGUUUCAGGAAAGAAACAAGACAGGAAAUGUUUUCUGUUGGAAUUUUUGAAAGGUGUUCAUUCUGCUCUGGGGUCUUUGGAAAAACAGGUUAGUGGCUGACCAAAGGGAAGGGAGGAAAAGGGCUGGAGUCUGUGGCUGAACUCCACGUAGGGGUGAAGGCAAACACAAACCCCUGGCUGAAAGUAUCACACACAACUCUGAAAAUAAAAUGUUAUUGGCUCAAGUCUGAAGCUGUCACUUUCCACUGAAAUGGAAUAUAUUGCUCAGAAAAGAGAAGCACCAAAUAUUAUGCAGUUUGCCUUUGGGGAAAGAAAAAAAAUAACACCCACUUAUAAGAACACUUUUUGGAGAUGAAGGAUUUGAUUUCAACUGAUGAGUCAUUACUGUGUUUUUAACCACUAAGCCAAAAAAAGAUGUUUUUUAAGAAGCAUUUCUUGAAGCAAAUUCUUCCAUUGCUUGGGUUUCUCUCAUCUAAGAGAGAAGGUGUCCUAAGCACUUAUAUCCAGAAGCUUCCCAGUUUGCAUGGAGAUAUUGUGGGACAAGAUUCCUAGCUACCAAGUUCCAGAUUCAUCAUGAAAAAGCAACCUCAAGAUAACAUUUAUGAUCUAGAAGCAAGAAGUUAACAAGAAAAUUAAUUUUAAACAAAUUUCAAUGCAUAAAGAUUAUGUUUGAAAAUGACACAGUGAAUGUCAGAAAGGCAAAGGAAUUUAAGACAGCUUGGUGAACACUGUAGUGGAGGCCACCAUAUAUCUUGGGUUAGUGUGGACAACAGUCCUAGUUUAUGCAUAGAAAGCACCCUCUUUCACUCUCAAAAAUGUCUUGCUUUUGACAGUGAUUUAUGGUCACCUCAGAUGUAGUUUUAAAACAUGUCUGCAGAUUGCUUCAACACUCUUACCAUCAAGAAGUCUAUGUCCCUUCCCCUUGAAAGUGGGUGGACUUUUGUGACCACCAGGGUAAGCUGUGUGUGACUGCAGAGGUGUGACCUGACUUCCAAGCCCAGGUGAGAAAAGACCAAGCAACUUCUGGUUUGUCUUGGGGAAUUUGCUCUGGGAGCCAUCAGCCACCCUGUAAGAAGCCUAGCCUCCCAGGAGCCGCUACCCUGGAGGGACACACGGAGAGAGCAGGGAAUGAAAGCAGAAGACACCCACGAGCCCAGCUGUGCCAGCCCCAGCCAUUCGCAUCUUCCCAGUCCAGGCAUCCAGCACAUGAGUGAGCGAGGCUUCAGGGUGACUCCAGCUCUGGCCCUCAUCUGACCACACCCGCUUGAGAGAUGCCGAGGAGGGGCUGCCCUGCUAAGCCCAGGCAACCCUCAGGAGCUGAGAGAAAAUCAUCAGCGAUACUGUUCUUUUCUGCCAGUAUGCUUGAGACGGUUUGUUAUGCAGCAGUUGAUAACCCAGGUGCUGAGUGUGGGCUGGCCAAGCCCCCCGAGAGCCCUGCCAAGGACACCUCCAUUGCUGCCAGCAUUCACUGUGCUGCACAGGCACUGGCUCCUGCCAGCUGCCGCAGAGCCAGGCUCCCUGGGAGCCAAGGCCCACUGUCUCGAAUGUUCUCUCCCCACAUCUUCCAGGUCCCAGCUUAAAAACU